rnacentral:rRNA from 1 species
UACGUAGGCAGCGAGCGUUGUUCGGAGUUACUGGGCGUAAAGAGUGCGUAGGCGGUUUUCUAAGUUUGGUGUGAAAUCUCCCGGCUUAACUGGGAGGGUGCGCCGAAGACUGGAAGGCUUGAGUAUGGGAGAGGUAAGCGGAAUUCCUGGUGUAGCGGUGAAAUGCGUAGAUAUCAGGAGGAACACCAAUGGCGAAGGCAGCUCGCUGGGACGUAACUGACGCUGAGACGCGAAAGCGUGGGGAGCAAACAGG